rnacentral:tRNA from 1 species
AAAAAUUUAAUUUAAAUUAAAAAUAUUUUAUUUACAAUAAAAAAAUUAAAAAAUUUUAAAUUUUUA